UACAGAGGGUGCGAGCGUUGUUCGGAAUUACUGGGCGUAAAGCGCGCGCAGGCGGCCCUUUAAGUCUGACGGUGAAAUGCCGGGGCUCAACCCCGUGCCCGCCGCGGAUACUGGAGGGCUGGAGACACGUAGAGGCAAGCGGAAUUCCGGGUGUAGCGGUGGAAUGCGUAGAGAUCCGGAGGAAGACCGGUGGCGAAGGCGGUUUGCUGGGCAGUUUCUGACACUGAGGCGCGACAGCGUGGGGAGCAAACAGGG
rnacentral:rRNA from 1 species